AGGUAAAAAUGCAUCGGAUCAGAAAUGAAGAUCCUGUGUCUGCAGUGCUGCGUAGAAAACUACAGCUGUCAAUGCCCUUCUCCACGCCUCCUCUGCGCAUCACCCAAAAACAAUUCAGGCAAUACCCACAGGGCAAUUUCUACGAACACGCAGGAUCUGUUCCAGCGAUGAGCACUUUGAACAGCAGGCAUCCAUGUUGUCACGGCGACUCCUCGAUAGAGGGUAUCCCGCGAAUAUGAUCCAGCAAGGCUAUGAAAGAGCCAGAAAGACAACAAGGGAUUCCCUGCUGAUUGUCUCUUUUGGUGUGCCCGGGAUACGUCGGUGGAUCUAACCAUCUAUUUGAUUUCGGGAUGAAGGGCAGACCAUAGAUGGACAAUUUAUGACAUGCCUUUUGGAAAUUGCAUUUUAUGCCAUAUUCCCUGUGCACGCAUCCUGUAUAUGUACAUUUUUCACAUAUAAUUGAUGUGAUAUUUGAUAUAUUUUUUAGGUGGAUAUUGUGUGUACUGGUUGGUUGGGAGUGUCCCGGUCGUCCCCAUUGGCGACCAUUGCCGUCGGUGGGGAUGCCCCGGACACUCUCUGCCUAUCCAUACUUGGAUAGGGUUUUCCCUAUUCUCUUCUUCUCCCUCUUCCUUUUGAGGCUUGUUUAUGCUGACUCUCGCUCUUGUAGAGAACACCAUGAUCAUGUUGGUGUCUCGCUAUAAUAUGUGACGGGCCAGUAAUGCUAUUAUAGUAAUCGUGGUCGGUAUUUUUCUUUCUAUAUUACAUCAUAUUUUACUUGCAUUGCCGGUCUUUGCCACCUAUGACUGCCUGAGAUUGUUCUUGUGCUUGAUGGGUUGGGGAUGCCUUGGCUGACCCCGCGGGCGGCUGUUGCUGCCUGCGGGGUCACGCUCGGCAUCCCCCCCUUAUAUAUGUCGGCGUUAUACACAUGUCACGGUUCUAUAUGCAUGUCGACACCCUUGUAGGGUGUAGAUAACAGUAUCACUUGAGAUGCAUUUUCUGUCAUCAGGAUGCACCUUUUUAAUCAAUUUUUCUUGUUUUAUUUAUAUUUCACCAUUCACUUUUUACUGUUAUAUUAUUAUCAUACAUGCAACACAUAUGGUUAUCACUUGGUGUUGUAACUAUUAGUUACUCAUGCACUGUAUAUGAUGCGUAUGUUGUUGUAACAUUGACGCAUCUCUAUAUAGCACUGUUUCCAGUACCUUUUAUUAGUAUAUCUGUGAUUGAUGUAAUUAUCUAAUGUCACUGGGUCAUGUCAUUAUCUUUGUAAUAUUAUAGUGUCAUGUUUUUCUGGGCACUAGUUUCUAGUAUUCUAUUGUUAUGUCGUGGUGGUCUGUGGACCUAAUGUGGAUGUCUAUGCAGUCAUACAAUUCAUUCUCUUCAAGGUUUGCGAGGCCGCAUACAUAUUAUAUUGUCUAUAAUCUUUCUGUCAAACACCAUUUGCCUCCCGCGAUUUGCGGUUCACCUGCGUUCCAUUGGGUCGCAGACCACGCAUGCGCUGCGCGGCGUCAUCUCAAUGUGCUCUGUGACGUCCACAUGCGCUGCGCAUGCGCGGUGUGUGGACGGUGACGCGCUGAGAGAUGGCACCGCUCAUCAUGAUGUUUCCGCGCCCGCCAUAUUGGACCACAGGUGCCCGCUAUCCAGGUAUUUUAAUUAGACUCUCAGUUAGACUAUAUAUACCCUGCUAGUCUGUCACUUGAUACCUCCUGACGAAGCCGCUGAGGUGAAACGUGCGUCGAGGUAUGCGCUCUCGGGCUUAUACUUGCGGUCAUCAUGUCCUUAGGUACGUUCCUUGUAUAGUACUAGUACCAUGGUGUAUCUAUACUCGGUAUUUCACAUCCACAUUAGGCCCAUGUUACCACCUGUGGGAUAUUAUUAGUGUUUGACAUCAAGUAACGGUAUUUCUGUAACACAUAUACUGGUGUCUUGGAAGUCUAUAUAUGUAUACAUAACUUCCGGUGAUGUGAGGUUCAUGAACAAUUAGGUUUUUAUUUAUCCUGUUGUAUAGAAUAUAUCCCCCUGGUGGGCUUUAUCAUUAUAUUUUCUCUUUAUAUCCUCUAUACAGGACCGAUUAUUCAUGCACCAUAAUAAUUUUUACCUUGAGGCUGUCCAUGCUUAAUUGUGUGGACACACAUGAUCCCGCAUUGUGUAUAUUGCUCUACGGCUCUCAGUAUAGUUUUCCAUCCUGU